rnacentral:rRNA from 1 species
GACGAACGCUGGCGGCGUGCUUAACACAUGCAAGUCGAACGAAGUGGCGCACGGGUGAGUAACGCGUAAUCAACCUGCCCUUCAGAGGGGGACAACAGUGGGAAACGACUGCUAAUACCGCAUAGUGAAGGGGGGGAUUGAGUCUGAUUAGAUAGUGGGAGGGGUAACGGCCCACCAAGGCGAUGAUCAGUAGCCUGUCUGAGAGGUGGAACGGCCACAUUGGGACUGAGACACGGCCCAGACUCCGACGGGAGGCAGCAGUGGGGAAUCUUCCGCAAUGGACGAAAGUCUGACGGAGCAACGCCGCGUGAGGGAUGACGGCCUUCGGGUUGUAAAGCUCUGUUAAUCGGGACGCGGUACCGAAAUAGAAAGCCACGGCUAACUACGUGCCAGCCGCCGCGGUAAUUC